rnacentral:rRNA from 1 species
UAGGAAAGAUUAUGCUAAAAUGAGUAAUAAGAAGGCAUAUUAGGCCUUCUCCCAGCACAUGUGUAAGUCAGCUCGGACAGACCACUGACAAUUAACGGACCCAACAAGACGAGGGACCUACAACAACCAAAACAUAAACAAGAAAACCCUGUACAACUAAACCGUUACCCCGACACAGGAGUGCAUUAAAGGAAAGACUAAAAGGAGAAGAAGGAACUCGGCAAACACAAACCCCGCCUGUUUACCAAAAACAUCGCCUCUUGCCAACAAAUGAAGUAUUAGAGGUCCCGCCUGCCCUGUGACCAAAGUGUUUAACGGCCGCGGUAUCCUGACCGUGCGAAGGUAGCGUAAUCAUUUGUCUUUUAAAUAAAGACCAGUAUGAAUGGCAUCACGAGGGUUUAACUGUCUCCUUCCCCCAGUCAAUGAAAUUGAUCUGCCCGUGCAGAAGCGGACAUAAAAACAUAAGACGAGAAGACCCUAUGGAGCUUUAGGCAAAAGUCACACAUGUACAAAGACCCGAAAAACAAUAAAAGGCCCAAUUAAACCAAAUGUAAAAUGACUUAAUGCCUUCGGUUGGGGCGACCAUGGAGGAAAAUAAAGCCUCCACAUGGAAUGGGGACACCCCCCUAAACCAAGAAAGACAAUUCUAAGUAACAGAACAUCUGACCAAAAAUGACCCAGGACCCAAUCCUGAUCAAUGAACCAAGUUACCCUAGGGAUAACAGCGCAAUCCUUUCCCAGAGCCCAUAUCGACGAAAGGGUUUACGACCUCGAUGUUGGAUCAGGACAUCCUAAUAGUGCAGCCGCUAUUAAGGGUUCGUUUGUUCAACGAUUAAUAGUCCUACGUGAUCUGAGUUCAGACCGGAGUAAUCCAGGUCGGUUUCUAUCUAUGAACUUACUUUUUCCCAGUACGAAAGGACCGGAAUAAAGAGGGCCAAUACUGAAAGCAAGCCCCACCUCUACCUACUGAAAACAAAUAAAAUAG